rnacentral:rRNA from 1 species
CAAUAGCGUAUAUUAAAGUUGUUGCAGUUAAAAAGCUCGUAGUUGGAUUUCUGGUGGGAGCGAUCGGUCUGGCGCUUAGCGCGAGUACUUGCAUCGUCUCCGGCCAUCCUUUGGGAGAGUCUGUCUGGCAUUAAGUUGUCGGGCAGAGGAUCCUCAUCGUUUACUGUGAAAAAAUUAGAGUGUUCAAAGCAGGCUUAUGCCGUUGAAUAUAUUAGCAUGGAAUAAUAAGAUAGGACUUUGGUACUAUUUUGUUGGUUUGCGCACCAAAGUAAUGAUUAAUAGGGACAGUUGGGGGUAUUCGUAUUCCGUUGUCAGAGGUGAAAUUCUUGGAUUUACGGAAGACGAACUACUGCGAAAGCAUUUACCAAGGAUGUUUUCAUUAA